GCGCGCCGCUGGCACUCGCCGCCGUGCGCUGCUGCUGAGUGCGCGCCGCUGUCGUGCGCCGUCGUCGCUGCCGCGAGCCGCCGUGUGCCUGCGAGCCGGGCCGCCGCCGUUGCUCUCUCUGUGUCGCUGCUAGCUGCUGCACAGAAGAAGCAAGCAAGAACUAGCAAAGAAGAAAGCCAGGGAAGAAGAGAGAAAAGAAAAAAGGAGAAGAGAAAAGAAAAGAAGAAGAGAAGAAGAAAGAAGAAAGAAGAAAGAAGAAAGAAAAGAGCCGGCCGGGAGAGAAGCCAGGAAGAAGAAGGAAGAAAGGAAAAAAAAAAGAGAAAAGGAAAGAGAAAAGAAAAAAAAAAAGGAAAAGUUGGAAAUUUCGGGAUUUCGUCGGAUUCGUCAUCAAUCUUUCGAAGGCGAUUUCUCAGUAAUUUCUGGAUAUUUGUGAUUUGAUUAAAUCAAAUCAAUCAAUUCCUGUCGUAUUAUUUCAUGUGAUCAAUAGUCUGUUUCGUUUCGAUAAUCAUUAUUGAUUCGAAGAUACGAUAUCCGAGUCGAAGUAUUUAUUUCGAUCAUCAGAGCGAAGUCUAAUUAGUGAGAUUUUAGUUCGACUCUGAAUUGAAAAUAGUGUAUCAUUUCAUGUGAUACAAUUGUCUGUUCAGUUUUUCGGAAUGUAGGCGUAUACGUGACGUUUUCAGACGUAGAAUUGACGCUUCAUAUUUUAUGUGUUUUAAAUGUGUUUUAGUUCUAAUAGUAUGCCUGUACAGGUGGUACUAUUUCCGGACGUUCUUGAUCGAAUUUUCUUCAUCGUCGGUAAAGGCAAGUGAAUGUAUUGUAUGACUAUGCUUUAACCUAAUAUUGGGUUGCCUACAUUCUUUAAUUACAGUGCAUUCAUCUAAUCUGAAUGACUGAUUCUGAGCUGUGUACUAUGUUGUUUACGUUUCCAGAAGUUUACUCGAUGAUUGAUUUAUGAAGUGCAGUAUGUUUAGAUGUUGACGUGCAUUUUGGGGAUGGAUCUUGGUAGCUGCACACACUACCUCAUCACCAUGUUGAUAGCUCAACCGGUGUUAUAAAUGGUGGUUUUGGUGGUCUGUCAUUUGCUUGGUUUAUGUCGUGGUACGACGCUGGUAGCGUCGUGAAGGUUUAUAUAUAUAUAUGCCGGUUAUGUCA